CGCGGCGGAAGCAUUACCGAGCGUUGGAGAAGGCACCAACGCUACUCGGCUUGUCGGGAGAAGCAAAGGUGGUGGGGCGUUGUGAGAAGCUGUAACCGAUGGCCUGCAGGGCGUCAAGGGAGGCGGCAACGACAUCAUGAGGGGGAGGCCGCAGGGUUUGGGGAGGGGGGUGGAUGGGCGGCGCACUACUACCUGUGUUGCCUAGGCGACAUCAUCGUCCUCUUCCCCCUGGGUGAGCUGAGGAUGAUGGCUUGGUUGUCGAGGCCAGCUCUAAGCCAGCGAAAUAGGGAGAGCUUUGGUGAUGAGCUCCUCGAUUAUAGUACGGGGAAGCUAUCACCGAUUGGUUGGUGGGCAUGGAGCGGGAACAACCUCGAUGUUGGUGGCCUCUCCUUGAUCCGGUGCUGCCGGGCGUUGAUCCAGUGGGCUAGCGCCUCGAGUAGGAAAAAUCUAGGGUGGUAUGGUCCUGACAACAAGCUUCUAGGCUAUGUAGACGUCGGGCGUGGCGGCCACCUCCCCCUCAUGCUGUAG
rnacentral:lncRNA from 1 species